UGUCGGGAGGCAAGGGGAGGGAUCUAUGAAGCAGCUCCCCUGUCCUCCCGCGAGCAAGCAGGGGAGCUGCUUCUCAGAUCCCUUCCCCUGCCUCCCGACAC